rnacentral:rRNA from 1 species
UGGGGAAUUUUGGACAAUGGGCGAAAGCCUGAUCCAGCCAUGCCGCGUGAGUGAAGAAGGCCUUCGGGUUGUAAAGCUCUUUUAGUCGGAAAGAAAGAGUUGCAAUGAAUAAUUGUGAUUUAUGACGGUACCGACAGAAAAAGCACCGGCUAACUACGUGCCAGCAGCCGCGGUAAUACGUAGGGUGCGAGCGUUAUCCGGAUUCACUGGGUUUAAAGGGUGCGUAGGCGGGCAGGUAAGUCAGUGGUGAAAUCUUCCGGCUUAACCGGAAAACUGCCGUUGAUACUAUUUGUCUUGAAUAUUGCGGAGGUAAGCGGAAUAUGUCAUGUAGCGGUGAAAUGCAUAGAUAUGACAUGGAACACCAAUUGCGAAGGCAGCUUACUACACAAUGAUUGACGCUGAUGCACGAAAGCGUGGGGAGCGAACA